AACACUGAUCAAUGUCUUCAUCACGAACACCCAACGGAAAUCCAAACAAAGUACACAACUGCCGGUCAUAACAGUAAAUUGCCCAGAAAAUACGUCUUCUGCUAUCAAUUUGUUCCUCCGUAAAUCCUUCUGUAAUAUUUCUAUGUAGACCUAACCUAAGACAGCAAUUCAAACCUAGUUUCAUGUAAUACCAGGCAGCGCUAAUUUCGGUUCGGCAAUACCGAUAAAUACUAAGAAUUAAGAGACAUUGGAUGCUUUCAAUAGUAAAGUUAUCCGCGGAUUUCACUAAUCGUUCGCUGUAAAAACUGUACUUUUUGAUUAAACUUUGUA